rnacentral:rRNA from 1 species
UACGAAGGGGGCUAGCGUUGCUCGGAAUCACUGGGCGUAAAGCGCACGUAGGCGGCUUGUUAAGUCAGGGGUGAAAUCCCGGAGCUCAACUCCAGAACUGCCUUUGAUACUGGCGAGCUUGAGUCCGGGAGAGGUGAGUGGAACUGCGAGUGUAGAGGUGAAAUUCGUAGAUAUUCGCAAGAACACCAGUGGCGAAGGCGGCUCACUGGCCCGGUACUGACGCUGAGGUGCGAAAGCGUGGGGAGCAAACAGG